GGAAAAAUGAGAACGAAGAAAGCGAGGGAGCCCUGAAAGCCAGCUAGCAACAGCAGCCUCCCUGCAACCAACGUACAUCUCCAGGUCUGAUAUAAGCUGGAUUUGGUCUCAAAAGUUUGAGGACCUACCGGAUGCUCUUUGAAAAUGAGUUUGCGGUUUCCCUUGAUUUACUCUCUCCUUUUAUUGUAGGAAAAAAAAAAUACAGCAGAAAAAAGUAGGAAAUACAAUAUUUAUGAAUAUCUAUUAGUUGGGCUUUAAAUUCAAGUCAAAUGUAGUGAACUUGAGUUCAAACCUGGAAAACUUGAAUUACAUGACAUGUACUCUUGGAAAUUAACCAUAUAGUUCGGAAGGAAAA